rnacentral:lncRNA from 1 species
AUUUGCCAUCUGUUUCUCCUUCUCAGUUAAUUUGACUAUUAGAGUGGCUAUAGCAGAUGUUAAGCCUCUGAAAAGAGCAAUCUGAGGGGGUGGAGAGCUUUUUGUGGGGGAACCUGAGAACUCUUACCUGUGUGGUGUGGCUCUGGGAAGGCAACAAGGCCAAAUGGGGCUUUGUAAAACUCAGACCUCACUUAACUGCAAAAAUGAGGCUCACUGGUUGUGCAUGAUUUUGGGCUGCUGUACUUAGAGGAAUGCAGUGUGUGGAUCCAGCAAUAUGCAGGCAGUGCAGAGCUCGAGCCUGGGGCUGGUGGCCAUUCGCAUAUGGGACGUCUCGAUUUGGUGUCAGGGGACCUGCAGCUGACUGAUGCUCUUAAGAUGUUAUAGAAAUGGUUACGUUACAACAUCUGUUGGCCAGGAAGAACACCAUGCGGUUGUUGCCCCUACCUCCAGAUCUUGCACCCUUGCGUUAAUAGCUGGGAAUUGCUUGGUUGCCUUUUUGUAUCUGUUUGGUUUCCACAGUACUUGAAGAACAAAUAAGUUCUACUUCUGAAUUAGUAUAUUUGGAAGUUGUUUUUAUUCUUUGAGAUGUGAAAUUGUCUAGACUAUCCGUGCUGUAGGUGGGUGACAAUGAAAUUCUGGGCAAACCAAGCCCCAAGUCCCCAUCAGUAGAAAAGCUGUUUCUGAGAGAAAGUUGCAUUUCUAAGCUCAAAUGGAAACGUGAAGGUAAAAUGUAGAGGAGCACGUGGACCACACAAAAUGCAAACAGCUAGCUGAUCUUUGGCCUGAUCCAAGCAAACGCUGUUGAAAUAAUUGAAAAUAUGCCAGCUGACUUCUGUGGG